AUUGAACGCUGGCGGCAUGCCUUACACAUGCAAGUCGAACGGUAACAGGUCUUCGGAUGCUGACGAGUGGCGAACGGGUGAGUAAUACAUCGGAACGUGCCCGAGAGUGGGGGAUAACGAAGCGAAAGCUUUGCUAAUACCGCAUACGAUCUCAGGAUGAGAGCAGGGGACCGCAAGGCCUUGCGCUCACGGAGCGGCCGAUGGCAGAUUAGGUAGUUGGUGGGAUAAAAGCUUACCAAGCCGACGAUCUGUAGCUGGUCUGAGAGGACGACCAGCCACACUGGGACUGAGACACGGCCCAGACUCCUACGGGAGGCAGCAGUGGGGAAUUUUGGACAAUGGGCGCAAGCCUGAUCCAGCCAUGCCGCGUGCAGGAUGAAGGCCUUCGGGUUGUAAACUGCUUUUGUACGGAACGAAAAGACUCUGGUUAAUACCUGGGGUCCAUGACGGUACCGUAAGAAUAAGCACCGGCUAACUACGUGCCAGCCGCCGCAGUAA
rnacentral:rRNA from 1 species